rnacentral:rRNA from 1 species
AUGGUGGCCGAGCUCGGUCCGGGCAGGUUCUACGGCGGCGGGCUCCCGCGGCCGCGCGUGUUCCCCGGCGGCGACCGCGCCGACCCGCCGGCGCUCCUCUCCUGGGCGCGCGAGGCGCAGUGGUCAACGGGCGCGCGAGGCGGCAGGCGCCUCCGCCUCCAGGGCCGCAUCGAGGGCAGCCUCGGGAGGCUCCGCCGCGCCGACGCGCUCGGCUCCGACGACGAGGAGGAGGAGGAGGAGGAGGGGGCCGUCGCGGCUCAGGAGUGCGAGGCCGUCGACGGUAAGGAGUCGGAGGAGGACAAGGAGGAGUCCGGGGAGUCGGAGGAGGUGGCGCUCGUGACUCCGGCAAGGGGGCUGCAGAGGAAGAAGCCUGUCGCGGCGGCUUCUGCUCCUUCUGCCGAGGCACCGGCGAAGGUGUCCCCAAAGAGGAAGGCCGCGGCGGCUGCGCUAACGGCGGGGACAGCACCGACGAGGAAGAGGAAGGCUGCCAAGACCCCGGCGGCAAGGACGGCAAAGCACUGA